CCCUUAGAUGUUCUGGGCCGCACGCGCGCUACACUGAUGCAUUCAACGAGCCUAUCCUUGACCGACAGGUCCGGGUAAUCUUUGAAUCUGCAUCGUGACGGGGAUAGAUUAUUGCAAUUAUUAAUCUUCAACGAGGAACGCCUAGUAGGCGCAAGUCAUCAGCUUGCGUCGAUUACGUCCCUGCCCUUUGUACACACCGCCCGUCGCUCCUACCGAUUGGGUGUGCUGGUGAAAUGUUCGGAUCGGCCGUUUGUCGCGGUUUCCGCGUCAUGUGGCUGAGAAGUUCAUUAAACCCUCCCACCUAGAGGAAGGAGAAGUCGUAACA
rnacentral:rRNA from 1 species